CUUAUAUUUGAGAAUUUGUAACAUCGGCGGUGCCCGUGUGUUACGUUCUGCUUCCCAGCCUUGGUCGCUUCUCGUCUCUCCUUGUGUUUAUUGGUUGCACCUGCCUCUUGUUAACCUGAUCACCUGCUCCUGUGUAUUUAAGCCCUGUCAUUCCUUUGUCGGUUCGUCUGUUGUCCUAGUCUUAUGUCUCCCCAUGUCAACGUGCUUCUGUUCCUGUUGUUCCUGCACUCCCAAGUCCCUGCAAUAAAUGAACUGACGUAGUUUGCUGCCUCACAGCUUCACUCACCUGCAUUUGGGUCCAAAACCAACACUCACCAUGACACCGUGGUCGUCGGGGCACUCGGGCCAGUAACCGCCAGACUGGAGGAGUGGCUAAAGCAGAUCACUGGAAACACAUCAGACACCCAGUAAAAGUGCAGCUCUAGGAACAGCUAAGAUGCUGCAGACCCCUCAAGCUCCCAGGCCUCUGGUAGAAGGUUCACGACUUUUUGCAAGAUGCAAUGUCAAAGUCUUGGUAAAAGGCCUGCAUUUGUAUAGCGCCAUCUUAAGGUUCUACAGCCACCCAAGUCAUUCAUUCACCCAUUCACACACUGGUGGGGAUUAGCUACGAUGUUGCCACAGCUGCCCCGGGGCAUCUUGCCCAAGGACACAACAGCAGCAUUCUCUGGUCAGAGACGGGAUUGAACCUGCAACCUUCAGAUUACAGUGUUUCAGUCUGCCAUCGUAUAGCCUCCAUACUAGGCGAACCCUGGUUUUACGCAGACAUUUCUGUUUUCAGGUAAAAACUCUGCACUGCAUUUGAAUUUAAAUCUGCCAUCUCUAUUGGCUACGAGGUACCCUAGCAUGUUAGCUGGUACCAUAUGAUGUCACAAAUGUAUUUGUUAGCGACUCCGCCCUCUCGGUCUGCUAGGCAACAGCAUUCAUUGCAUUUUUUCAAACAGGACAUGGGAGUUGAGUAAGAUCUGGUAGGGAGUGACUUGUUCUUUAAUAUUGGUGGAAUUUGAAGCAUGCAUCACAUUGUGGACUGAUCUAAAUCAGUGGAAACAGGUUUUUUUUAGCUGGAAAAAGACUGAAAGUAUAUGAUGCUAAUGGGUUGUUACCAUGAUAACCCCAUACGGCGUGCUUUUAUUGCUAAUUUACAAGAGAAACAAAACUGUUUUGGCUGACUAGUUUUUGUCAGUUUGCCCAUCACUUUGAAGUUCAUUUGUUCAUACUCAGCCUGAUUAUUUCACCUAAGUCUCCAUGUAACAGCUGACAAUUAGACCGCUUUCAUUCUCACGAGCACCCACACGGACAGAUGCACGAGAGCCAAUUAUAAACACGAUUCAUAUGGGGGAUGGACCGCCCGCGCUAGCUUCAGCUGCUGCAGUGUGUGAGAUAGAUAGAUAGAUAGAUAGAUAGAUAGAUAGAUAGAUAGAUAGAUAGAUAGAUAGAUAGAUAGAUAGAUAGAUAGAUAUAGAUAGAUAUGGAUAGAUAUAGAUAGAUAGAUAUGGAUGGAUGGAUGGAUGGAUGGAUGGAUGGACGGAC
rnacentral:lncRNA from 1 species